GCUGAGAAUGAUGGAGAAAAUCAGCAUCUAGCUAAUCAGCUGACCAUGAGAUGCAGAGAUUAUCUGGAAUUAUCCAGAUUGGUCCAUUUAAUUACAUGAGUCCUUAAAAGUGGAAAGUGGAAGAAGAGGCAGAAGAGUGUGUCAGAGAGAUGCUGUGUGAAAAGGACUCAACCUGCCACUUGAGGCUUUGAGGCUGGAGAAAGGGGCCAUGAACCAAGGAUUGUGAGCAGCCUGUAAAAUCUGGAAAAGACAAGGCAAUACCCUUUGCUGUCUCAGGGUCAAACAUGCAACUCCUGCCUGCUUGUAUGGCCAGCUGGGUUCAAGAAGGAAGGAACCUCAUUGUUGACAGUUACCAGAUGAAUGUGCCCCUUCUGUACAGCUAAGAAAUGGAAUAGACAUUGGUAACCUUCCACAGGCCCACACAUGUGUUAUCAGCCAUACCUUAGGACAGAAGGAAUGAGUUUGCAGAAAGGAUGACAACUCCAGGAAGGAAAUUGGUAGACUCAACGUCCAGGGAACCUACGAAUCUGCUAUCCCAAGCCUUCUGCCCCCAAACACUUCACCCUGAAAUACAGCCCAGAGCAUGCACUCAGUGAGUCCCACUGAAGAAGAGACGGAAGGCAGAACUGAACAAGAUGUGUCCAGAAGAGGUAGCCAUAGAUCAUGGACAUGACCAAAAGAAGCUUACUUUAUUUUCAACCCUACAACCAUACUGAGAAUUUAGCCCUGGGGACAUCUUCCGAUAUAAUCUGGCAUAGAAGAGUGGUUAUCACACCUUUAGCAUGGGACCCUUGAGACACCUUUGCUGUGAAUAAUGGAGAAGCAAAAGGAGUUACUAAUGAAGACAAACUAAACCUGAGAACAGAGAGAGCCUAACUAUGUGCUCCAGAAGUGCCAUGUGUGUCUAAGGGACAUGGAUGAAGCUGGAAACCAUCAUUCUCAGAAAACUAACACCGGAACAGAAAACCAAACACCCCAUGUUCUCACUUAAAAGUGGGAGUUGAACAAAGAGAACACAUAGACAGAGGGAGGGGAACAUCACAUACUGGGGCCAGUCGGGGGGUUGUGGGGAAGGGGAGGGAUAGCAUAGGAGAAAUACCUAAUGUACAUGACGGGUUAAUGGGUGCAGCAAAUCACCAUGGCACAUGUAUAUCUAUGUAACAAACCUGCACGUUCUGCACAUGUAUCCCAGAACUUAAGUUUAAUUAAAAAAAUCUACUAAUUGAAAUAGAAGCUAAAGAUGUCAAAAUCCAUAAAUAUUUUUAUAUCUACACAAUUGGAAUAAUUAAACUUUUGUGAUAAAGCUAAUAUUGAAUUUAAAAAUCUCCAGCAUAACGGUAUGCUUUUUCUGCAGCCUCUCAUCAGUAAGAUUUUAGGAAUGUUUGAUCAUUUGAAUAACUACUUUCUAAAUCAACCUUAAUGUCCUACAAUAAUAUUCAUAUUUUGAUAAAUGAGUUAUCUAACUUUUGGUUGCACUGUAUGCAAAAUCGGCUGAAAAAUUUUUAAACAACGCAUUUAAAAAUGGUGUGGCAAGAAAAAACAGCAACUUCUGGUUGAAGCUUUCUGCAAACUGAAAAUAUUGAAGACAAUAUCUUGCAGGCAGGAAAACAUUUAUCUCUACAAAAGCAAGGGGAAGCUGAACGAACUGCAGAAUGAGCUCACAAGAGGCUCUAACAUUUAGUUUUGAAAUUACAUAACAGCUUUGGAACAUCUGACUUGUGGAAAGAAUUUGUUGAUUUCCUAAUUUUAAUUGGAUAAAUGGUAUUUUGUAUCAGACUGAAAGAAAAUUGACAAAGCCUACAAUGUUUCAGCGCUUUAAUUUGGUGAAGUUUUCAAAAAUAU
ensembl:lncRNA novel transcript